CAAGCUGCGGAGGGACGCAGUGAGGUAGCUCAUCCCCGGUGAUGGUUGUCCGGGGCUAAGUGUGUGGACUGUCUGGUAGGUAAAUCCGCUGGGCGUGAAGGUUGAGGCAUGAUGGGGAGCCCACGGUUGUGGGUGAGUGAGUGAUCCUGUACUGUCGAGAAAAGCUUCGUGAGCGAGGUGGCGGGUCCGCCCGUACCCUAAACCGACACUGGUGGAUAGGUAGAGUAUACCGAGGCGAUCGAGUGAAUCGUGGUGAAGGAACUCGGCAAAAUGCCCCCGUAACUUUGGGAUAAGGGGGACCUGAGCUGUCGUGCACCCGUGCGGUGUGGUGGCGGUGAGGGGCGCAGAGUCCAGGGGGAAACGACUGUUUACCAAAAACACAGGUCCGUGCGAAGUCGUAAGACGAUGUAUACGGACCGACUCCUGCCCGGUGCUGGAAGG
rnacentral:rRNA from 1 species